UCUAAUCAGAAAGGGAAGGAAGUGCUUCCAUCUGUGCUCUUAGAUGCCUUAUUGAUCUGAUAAGAUCGGGUGUUGCCUAAGGGGUCUAAAGAGGAAGAAGGUGGCUUGACUUUUUGGGCUUCUGUAUCAAGUGUGGAAUUCUAAUGGCUUCUUGUGAAAAUAGAUUGCAGUCCGGGUGGCUGGCGGAAUUCCGGCACAAGUGAAGUUCAUUCUCCCUGUCUUGGACUCAGAUAUUUGAAGCUGAAAGGCCCUUCUUCAAGAAGAUGAGCUGGCUGGCGCCUCCUGAAAUGUGCCCGGAGUUUUGCAACUGUAAAAGACACAGAUCAGAGUGAAGAUUUAAAAAAAAGAUCCUGUUUCACAUGGAUUCAAAUAAACAUGCAAACACUA